AUGAGUUGCUAAACGUAGAAACCUGCAGAAGAACAAGCCAAGUCUGUAAAUUCUCACAAACAAAGUAAACAAGCUCAUCCAGUGAAUUUCACCAGCAAAGAAACAAGCCAAUUCUGUGAACUUUUACAAGCAAAGAAAGUAGCUAAAUUUGUGAAUGUUCACUUUUAACACAGCAACAUAGCCAACGAACAUGAAGAAGUUGCAGCUGAAAAGUAUUUAACAGGAACAUACAGUACCACAAUCCAUCAGCUAAAGACAAUGGUUCAGUAAUAUAAUAACAUAAAAAAGUAGCAUGAAUCAAGGCAUAAAAUAAAAAAAGUAACGGAAGCCAGAAAUAAAACAGAUGGCAUUAAAUGAAGUGAACAAAAGCAGAGAUCUUGAAGACAGCAAACCAAAAUCAUGAAGAUCCAGCAGAUAAACCAAUAUCCAAAAAUUAAGCUGGUAAAGUUCCAAUUGAGAAAGAAAAAGAAAAAAAGUUCCAAUUGAGCAAGAUACCAAAGUAAAAAUCAAACCUUUCUAUCAAAUUCAGAGCUGAGGAAGUGAUAUAAAGAUAAAUCUAACGAUCAGAGAUUAAUCAGAUCUGGGUAUAAAUCAAAAGCAGACAAUUUUAGCAAAAAUGGUGAAAAAGGAAAUUAAAACGUCAACCUCAGAGAAUUGAAUUGAUGAGUAGUAGUACCAAACUUACUGUGGUUGUUCUU